CCCUCUUUGACUGUGACAAAUGAGCUCAAGUACUAGACUGUUUUAGGGUUCUUAUGUACUUUGCAGCUUUGAUUUUCUUUUUUGGUAUCUUUGUUUACUCAAUAUAGGAUUAGUACUAUUGAUUUUGAACUGUGCUUGUUCAAUUUUCAGCACCUUCUUAUUAUUUGCGAAACCUUGAUUCUACUCACAUGCCCUUUUUCAUGUCUCACAAUUUCUUUUCUUUUAUGCAUUGUGUUUUGUUGCUCGUUUUUAAUUUCCAAGUCGCGCAGUCUAUAAGCAUCAUUGAUCAAUUGUUUGGGUCUACUGAAUAGCCAGUGUAAUCCAUAUAGUUCAAGGAGCUUUUUGAAGAAAGGAAAAUUUUAAUCUUGCUAAGGUAAGAUAAUUACAGCACUAUGCGGUGCAGCGAAAUGAAUUGAAACGGGAAUAGUUGCUGUGAUACUAUCUUAAAUGCUGCUUUGCUGCAGAUUUUGGUAUGUAGCUGAUCUUUCUCAAAUGAAUGUGUUCUUCUCACAUGUAAAAUGCUGAUAAGUUGAAUGAAACUCCACCUUUUAGCUCUUUUUCCUGUAAUGGGGCAGAGUUGUGCAUAACGUUUUGCACGUGACCGAGAUAGCUAAAGAUUUGUUGCAGCUUCAAGGGAGGAAUGUCAUCUUCACAUUGUUUCGAAUAACUAACUAAGAAUGCACAUCUGCCUUUACAUAUUACUUUUGUACAGAAAAGGUGAAUUAGGGGCCUUAUUUCCUGCUUUCAAGAGGGGGAUUUCGCAAUGUGUCGCAUGAGCCUGCUUUCCUGUUCACAUCUGGCCAACUACAUGAGGGGAUCUGUUCCUCUAUCACCACUGCAUCUUAUGGUAACCACCAUUAAUGCUCAGCAUUGUAGUCUGUGUAAUAUUUGUCCCUGUGUUGAUUAAUGUCAAACUUAGUUCGCACAUUUUGUUCGUAAUUAUGGAAGCUUUAAUUGAAAUGCUCGAAGAUCGUGAAUCCCUCUAGUCAUUCAGAGUCAAAGCAGUAACCCUGUUUCUGCUUUCUGUUGAAUGAAUUUUUUCUUUCCCCACAUUGCUCCUUGCUAUGUUUUGCUUUGGCUUUUCUUUUUUAUGUGUCGUUGUUGAAGGCUCCGAUGAUGAUGUCUAUAUUCUAGUAUAUCGUUCCAAUUGCUGAACUGCUCCACCAUGUUAGUGGUAAUGUAGAGAUGAAGGGACAACUGAGGAGCUUGCUUGCACUCUUUUUAUGUAGAGUAAAGGUCAAAACUGGUUCUGAACA